rnacentral:rRNA from 1 species
GAUGAACGCUGGCGGCGUGCUUAACACAUGCAAGUCGAACGGUGAAGGCGGAGCUUGCUCUGCUGGAUCAGUGGCGAACGGGUGAGUAACACGUGAGCAAUCUGCCCCUGACUCUGGGAUAAGCGCUGGAAACGGCGUCUAAUACUGGAUACGAGCUGCGAAGGCAUCUUCAGCAGCUGGAAAGAACUUCGGUCAGGGAUGAGCUCGCGGCCUAUCAGCUUGUUGGUGAGGUAAUGGCUCACCAAGGCGUCGACGGGUAGCCGGCCUGAGAGGGUGACCGGCCACACUGGGACUGAGACACGGCCCAGACUCCUACGGGAGGCAGCGGUGGGGAAUAUUGCACAAUGGGCGAAAGCCUGAUGCAGCAACGCCGCGUGAGGGACGACGGCCUUCGGGUUGUAAACCUCUUUUAGCAGGGAAGAAGCGAAAGUGACGGUACCUGCAGAAAAAGCGCCGGCUAACUACGUG